rnacentral:lncRNA from 1 species
AAGGAGGCGGAGCCUCGGCACGGAAGGGGACCUGAACAAUCCAGCGUUCGCUCUUCAGCUGUCGCCAGCGCUGCUGUUGGACAGCACGCGAUCCGGCCCAGAGUCAGGCAGACCCUGGCUAAUGGUUACUUUCCUUCGUCUGCCCCUUCCGCAUCUACUGAGGUAGUUGGCGGGGAACUGAUCUUCGAUGAGGCAGGUUAAGAGCAAAGUAGGAGCCGGCGACAUAGCUCAGCAGGCAGACAUCUGCCGCCAAUCUGAGUUCGAUCCCUGGGACACACGUGAUGGCAAGCAAGAACCGGCUCCAGCAAGUUGUUCUCUGGCCUCCACAAGCACACUGUUGCGCACACACGUACACACAUUACACACACACUCUCUAAAUAAAUGUACAUUUUUCUACGUGUA